UACAGGGGGUGCUAGCGUUGUUCGGAAUUACUGGGCGUAAAGGGCGCGUAGGCGGUGCCGCAAGUCAGGGGUGAAAGCCCGGGGCUCAACUCCGGAAUUGCCUUUAAAACUGCAUCGCUAGAAUUGUGGAGAGGUAAGUGGAAUUCCGAGUGUAGAGGUGAAAUUCGUAGAUAUUCGGAAGAACACCAGUGGCGAAGGCGACUUACUGGACACAUAUUGACGCUGAGGUGCGAAAGCGUGGGGAGCAAACAGG
rnacentral:rRNA from 1 species